UGAGGACACAAGGAGAAGUCUGCAGUCUGUAACCUGGAGAACUGACCAGGCUCAAGCUGAUCUCUUCUGGGCCUCCUGAACUGAAGUUGGGAGAGCAUCAUUUCAGGAUGACCGGCCAGCAGCAUUAGAUGAAGAAGCAGCCCCAAACUCAGGACUAAAGAACGCUCAUGGGCGUUGGCAUUUUGAAGGCUUAUUGGUGCCCUUCUGUCUAAUUGAAUAUCAAGAGACUCGAGACACACAAAUGGUAAUUGGAGAAGCAGGUUUGCCUGUCUCAGAAGCAACAGAGUUGGUUUUACCCAGUACCACAUCACUGCCCAUUCCCUUUUAUCAUCAAGGCUCAGAGCUGGUUACAAAUAAUCAGUCAUCUCCCUUGCGCUCCCAAGAUAAGAAACUGAGGCAGAGAGGGAAGAAAGAUUGAAGAAGGAGCCACCAACGAGUCAUUGUUCAGGCUGCAAUGUGAAGG